rnacentral:rRNA from 1 species
AGGGUUUGUCAUGGCUCAGAUUGAACGCUGGCGGCAUGCCUUACACAUGCAAGUCGAACGGCAGCACGGGAGCAAUCCUGGUGGCGAGUGGCGAACGGGUGAGUAAUAUAUCGGAACGUGCCCAGUCGUGGGGGAUAACGUAGCGAAAGCUACGCUAAUACCGCAUACGAUCUAUGGAUGAAAGCGGGGGAUCGCAAGACCUCGCGCGAUUGGAGCGGCCGAUAUCAGAUUAGGUAGUUGGUGAGGUAAAGGCUCACCAAGCCGACGAUCUGCAGCUGGUCUGAGAGGACGACCAGCCACACUGGGACUGAGACACGGCCCAGACUCCUACGGGAGGCAGCAGUGGGGAAUUUUGGACAAUGGGCGAAAGCCUGAUCCAGCAAUGCCGCGUGCAGGAUGAAGGCCUUCGGGUUGUAAACUGCUUUUGUACGGAGCGAAAAGGCUCCCUCUAAUACAGGGGGCUCAUGACGGUACCGUAAGAAUAAGCACCGGCUAACUACGUGCCAGCAGCCGCGGUAAUACGUA